rnacentral:rRNA from 1 species
AGAGUUUGAUCCUGGCUCAGAAUCAACGCUGGCGGCGCGUUUAACACAUGCAAGUCGAACGAGAAAGCAGGAGCAAUCCUGUGAGUACAGUGGCGUACGGGUGAGUAACACGUGGAUUAUCUGCCCUGGAGUGGGGAAUAACGCUGGGAAACCGGCGCUAAUACCGCAUAUUCCCGAGAGGGGAAAGCAGCAAUGCGCUCGAGGAGGAGUCCGCGGCCGAUUAGCUAGUUGGUAGGGUAACGGCCUACCAAGGCUAUGAUCGGUAGCCGGCCUGAGAGGGCACACGGCCACACUGGCACUGAAACACGGGCCAGACUCCUACGGGAGGCAGCAGUGGGGAAUCUUGCACAAUGGGGGCAACCCUGAUGCGGCGACGCCGCGUGAGCGAUGAAGCCCUUCGGGGUGUAAAGCUCUUUCGGCAGGGAAGAUUAUGACGGUACCUGCAGAAGCAGCUGCGGCUAACUACGUGCCAGCAGCCGCGGUAAUACGUAGGCAGCAAGCGUUGUUCGGAGUUACUGGGCGUAAAGGGUGUGUAGGCGGCCUUCUAAGUUUGGUGUGAAAUCUCCCGGCUCAACCGGGAGGGUGCGCCGAAGACUGGGGGGCUAGAGUGCGGGAUGGGAGAGUAGAAUUCCUGGUGUAGCGGUGAAAUGCGUAGAUAUCAGGAGGAAUACCUGUGGUGUAGACGGCUCUCUGGACCGCAACUGACGCUGAGACACGAAAGCGUGGGUAGCAAACAGGAUUAGAUACCCUGGUAGUCCACGCCCUAAACGAUGCAUAUUUGGUGUAGGUCAUUCAGUUGAUCUGUGCCGGAGCUAACGCGUUAAAUAUGCCGCCUGGGGAGUACAGUCGCAAGGCUGAAACUCAAAGGAAUUGACGGGGGCCCGCACAAGCGGUGGAGCAUGUGGUUCAAUUCGACGCAACGCGAAGAACCUUACCUGGGCUCGAACGGCUCACGAACGACUGUGGAAACACGGUUUCCCGCAGGGACGGGAGUCGAGGGUGCUGCAUGGCUGUCGUCAGC